UGGUGAACAGACAUCUCAUAGCGACUUUCAUCUUUAUUAUUCCAACUAUGGAUAAACUAACUCAGGGAUACUGAUGGACAUUGAUUGACUUGGUCGAUCAAAGCGUCAUCUCGGGGAUACAUGGAGGACUCAAAAGACAGAUGGGGCCUGCCAAAAAGCAGAACGUGUUCUCUCUUUAUAAGCAAUCAUCCCUGGUUCAUCUCUUGCAGGGCAUUGCCAGGGGCCAAAAAGUUGCAGACUUUGGCAGUUUUGGACCAGAAUGUAUGAAUAUUUAAUUCAAGCCACAGUUGUUUAUUAAAACAACACUUAAACCUCCCAUAUAUUUGGAUUUCAAAGCAAAUGUUACCAAAGGAAGAAAUCUAUGAUCUAUUUAGAAAUGUAUAUACCAAUGUUUAUGAUGUAAUGUAAUGAUGACAUAAAUAGAAAUGUGUAUUCUGUAUUACUGCACAGGUAUUGUUUAGGUUGUAAUAUUCUUAUUAAUAUUUGAUUAAUCAACAAUUCAUUAAUAAAUUCAUUUUCUACCGCUUAUCCUCAUGUCUUCGGGCGAGUGGCGGGGUACAUGCUGGACUGGUGACCAGCCAAUCACAGGGCACAUAUAGACAAACAACCAUUCACACUCACAUUCAUACCUAUGGACAAUUUGGAGCGGCCAAUUAACCUAGCAUGUUUUUGGAAUGUGGGAGGAAACCGGAGUCCAGAGAAAACCUACGCAUGUGCAGCUGUC